rnacentral:rRNA from 1 species
GCUCUUAUGAAGUUAGCGGCGGACGGGUGAGUAACACGUGGGUAACCUACCCAUAAGACUGGGAUAACUCCGGGAAACCGGGGCUAAUACCGGAUAAUAUUUUGAACUGCAUAGUUCGAAAUUGAAAGGCGGCUUCGGCUGUCACUUAUGGAUGGACCCGCGUCGCAUUAGCUAGUUGGUGAGGUAACGGCUCACCAAGGCAACGAUGCGUAGCCGACCUGAGAGGGUGAUCGGCCACACUGGGACUGAGACACGGCCCAGACUCCUACGGGAGGCAGCAGUAGGGAAUCUUCCGCAAUGGACGAAAGUCUGACGGAGCAACGCCGCGUGAGUGAUGAAGGCUUUCGGGUCGUAAAACUCUGUUGUUAGGGAAGAACAAGUGCUAGUUGAAUAAGCUGGCACCUUGACGGUACCUAACCAGAAAGCCACGGCUAACUACGUGCCAGCAGCCGCGGUAAUACGUAGGUGGCAAGCGUUAUCCGGAAUUAUUGGGCGUAAAGCGCGCGCAGGUGGUUUCUUAAGUCUGAUGUGAAAGCCCACGGCUCAACCGUGGAGGGUCAUUGGAAACUGGGAGACUUGAGUGCAGAAGAGGAAAGUGGAAUUCCAUGUGUAGCGGUGAAAUGCGUAGAGAUAUGGAGGAACACCAGUGGCGAAGGCGACUUUCUGGUCUGUAACUGACACUGAGGCGC